rnacentral:ncRNA from 2 species
UGAAUAUCGAAGAAGACAGGUGCCGCAAGGCUUAAUAGGGAAGACCGGUGAAAUGCCGGCGCGGUCCCGCCACUGUAAUGAGGAGCAACUCCACAAUAUGUCACUGAGAAUAUCUUGGGAAGGCGUGGAGAAGCGUUGAUCCAGAGCCAGGAGAACUGCCUGUCUGACAAUCACCGA